GGAACAGUACCCAAGAGGCUUAAGGGGACGGCUUGGAAAGCUGUUAGGUAUAUAAAAAUUACGCGAAGGUUCGAAUCCUUUCUGUUCCGCCA
rnacentral:tRNA from 3 species